AGCAAGAUUAGAGCCUCUCUCUGGAUUGUUCCUCAGAACCAGAAGAACUGUGUGGAGUGGCAGCAACUGGAGGAAGCAGAAUGUCCCCGAGCAAGAUUGUCAAGAGAAAAAAGUUACAUGUAUAAAAUCUACAGUAGAAUUGGAAGAUGGAUCUAAUGAGAAUAACACUAAGGAAACACCAUCCUUCAAAAACUAAAAGCUCCUUGAUGAGACAAGAAAAUGAAGUGUCCCAGAAGAGGAAAUGCAGUAAGUGUUGGGGAUAAAAAGAAGGUUAGAAAGCGAACAAUUUCAGAAGGGAAGAAAUGACCUCUAAAAGGGAAGCUGGGAUGAUAGCAAAGGCAAUGUCAACGUCCUCACAAUUUCACUUAGAUUUUCCUGGCUACUCUGCAGAAGGCAUGAUAAGAUAAAUGCUUAUUGAUUUCAAGAUCAAGGCAACAGGAUCCUUUCUGUUUAAUUAUUUCUUUGUAAGUUAAAAACUAAAUGCUUUGGCAAGUGCUGUAAAUACAAAGGGCAGGGGUAUUCAGUGCCCUUAGAAUCAAUGGCAAGUUCAAGCUGUGUGUGACAAGGGAUAACCAUUAUUCAUCCAUUCAUUCUAACAAAGUCUGUAAAUGACUACCAUGCAUUAGGUGAUGGUCUGGUCACUGAAAUAUCAGAGACAGGUAAAGCUCAGUCUCUGUUCUUAAGGACCUCAGGGUUUAGAAGAAGAAAAAGACAUAUAAGUAAGUACAAUAGAAAUAUAAACAAGAACCAAAGGUAGCUCAGGGGAAGUGAGUAACUCUUAGAGGAAAAUAUUAAAUAAAGGAUUUCUGGAUGAGAGGAUGUUUGAACUGAAUUCUGAAGAUGAAUAAAAGUCCUUCUGGAGAAAUAAAAACACCAUUUUGGCAGAAAUAAUAGUAUAUGUGAAUACAUUUAGAACAAAGCAUGGAAACUAUGUUUAGGAUAUUGUCAUAAGCUUGGUAUCUUUAGAGCAUUUUGUGUA
rnacentral:lncRNA from 1 species